rnacentral:lncRNA from 1 species
UUUUGAUAAGUUGUCAACAGUUUAGGCCAUUAACUAAUGAUAACACUGAGAGGCAAAGCGCAAUUGAGCAAAGUUUUUUUUAGCAAAGAACAACUCCGUACAAUAAAUUGGCAGGAGUCCUAGAUCCUCCGUGCAAGAUACUAUUAAGUGCUUCAAAAUAUAUAGUUCAAUGCACAUAAAAAUAAUUAAGCCACUAAUACCAUGAUGCAAUUAUUUAUUUUCUUAAUAUAGAAUAGUAAAGUACAAAAUUGGCAGUUUACCAUUCACAUGUAGAGAUCAGAAGCUCUUCGGUUAAACUAUCUUUGGAUUGUCAGUCAACGCCCCACUUGUGGCCAUUCAUUUUCUUGACUUGAAGCAAUACCCUACAAAACUACUUCACAAAGAGGCUCAAAUUGUCGCUGAUAGUCUACAUGCUACACAUAAAUCAUGGAAGGGGCAAACACUGAUAACAUUACCAUUUGAGCCUCUUCUGUAUCUAGUCAUAGUAUUCCAACUAUCCCAAAGAAAGAAGUUAUCUGAAAGCUGCACUCUAACCUGCAACAAUAAGGGGAGAAAAUGAGAAACACGUAGGCUAGAUAAAAUGAUUGCCAUGAUCUUAAAUAAGCAAGCAAUAGAGCAGUGUCGUUUCCACAAAGGCAAAUGACAGAGUACAGCAAAACUUGAAGUACCAAAACCACCAUAUCUUGAAAUGUGUUGUUUUCUUCAUCGACGGAUCUAACAAAAAUGAAUAGAAACCUGAUCGGGUGAAUGCUUGCAGUAUGGAACAAUAGAUCGACCAUGGGUACAAGAAAGGAAUUAAAUCCAAUAUUGAAUAAUCUCCUCACUCAUCUCUAGUGCUUUUGCAAGAAAGGAAUUAAAUUCCAUAUUGAGCAGUAGAUCUCUUGCUUUCAGCUUCACUUGAUUCUAUUGUUAACUGCAUUCCCAAAACAUAAUGCUCGCGUUCAAAAAAUUGAGUCAUCUAGCAAAACGUAGUUUAAUUUAUAAAGUUGUUGGUGCAGGCAUCCACUCUGCCUCUGAACCUCCAUUUAUCUUGUUGUCAUGGUCAUAUUUUUGCAGAAUUUUUUUAGAACCAUCAAGUGAGCUUGAGUUAGCUCAGAAGCUUAUAUGCAUCUAGAACUUUAAGUUAUACUCAAAACUCUACAGAAAGGUGAAAAAACAUGCUGGAACUAAGAACAGAUCAUGAACUUCUAACAAAAACUGGCACAUGAGGGGACAUAUCUUAAUAUUAAACGUAAGUCGGCAUGAAGAUGUCCCCAAGAUACAAACUUCCUAUAAUUUAUCAUUAAAAUUUUCCCUGAUACAGUCUAAAGUCCAAAUUUUCAUCAAUCUUUAUUAUAUCAAAAAAUUAUGUUUUCUUUGGUUAAAUAUGCAUACCAGACCUCUCCAAUAAGAGGCACCCCUCCAAAAUGAUUUAUGAAGCUGACAGAUAUAGAAAGCAUGUAGCCAUACCUAUUCUUGAAUGUGCAUGUCUUCAGAGCUUGAAAAAACAAGGUACCAACAUCUUUCCAGUUGUUUGCUGAGUGCUAAUCACCUUGAAGGCUGAACAAACACGAUGGUCAAAGUGCUAAUUAAUUCAAACACAAACAACAUAAAAACCAGAUUGAGAUAGAAGCUACUGAACACGUACUAUUCUAAAUCUGACAAUCAAUUGAAUUGGCGUCUUUCUAUUUGUAAACUUAUAGACAUAGCAAAUAUCGCAACUUACAGUUCAGAUUUUGUUCACACCGGAUUUUGUUCACAUACUCGAGUACUUACUGGUAAUAGAAAAAUGGUGUACAAAUAGAACCUGGCGUGUUGUCGCUUUAGCAUCGCGUUUCUACAACGGGAAGCCAUCGGCCUCCUUCCGUCUAGGUCCGAGAAACCACAUUUCCAUUGUCGGGGCGACGACGUCUUCUUCAAC